rnacentral:rRNA from 1 species
CCUACGUGAGGCAGCAGUGAGGAAUAUUGGUCAAUGGACGGAAGUCUGAACCAGCCAUGCCGCGUGCAGGAAGACGGCUCUAUGAGUUGUAAACUGCUUUUGUACAAGGGUAAACCUGAAUACGUGUAUUCAGCUGAAAGUACUUUACGAAUAAGGAUCGGCUAACUCCGUGCCAGCAGCCGCGGGAAUACGGAGGAUCCAAGCGUUAUCCGGAUUGAUUGGGUUUAAAGGGUGCGUAGGCGGAUUGAUAAGUUAGAGGUGAAAUGUCCGAGCUUAACUCGGGAACUGCCUCUAAUACUGUUGAUCUAGAGAGUAGAUGCGGUAGGCAGAAUGUAUGGUGUAGCGGUGAAAUGCUGAGAGAUCAUACAGAACACCGAUUGCGAAGGCAGCUUACCAAUCUAUAUCUGACGUUGAGGCACGAAAGCGUGGGGAGCAAACAGGAUUAGAUACACCUGUAGUC